ensembl:lncRNA
GUCCUACAUAUUUACCUGAUCUGUCUAAUACUGAAAUAUUUGUUAUUAUUUUGAUUAAAUAAAUCUAUCCUGUGGUAAUACAUUAACAUUUAUUCAUUUAGCAGAUGCUUUUAUCCAAUGCGACUUACAAAUGAGGAAAUACAAGCAAAGCGAUACAUCAAGUGGAGAACAACCAUGCAAGAUUUAUAUGUGCAGAGUAGAGGUGUAAGAGCCAGCGUAAGGUUAUUUAUUUAUUUAUUUAUUUAUUUAUUAUUAUUAUUAUUAAAUAAUUGGGUCUGGAAAUUUGUUUCACAUCAUAAGGGCUCCUGUAACAUUCGUGUGUCUUAGUUCUCCCUGAAACAGUUUAUAAACUCAUUAUAUAAAUGACAUCACCCAAUACUAAACAGAAAAAUAGACGAGAAAUGUUCUGACUGAAUUCACACAUUACUGAAUUCUGAGGUAUCCACUUAUCUUUAUUUCUGAAUAGAAUUAAAAUGCGUGAAAUAAACAUGCAGCUAUAAACACAUGAAACAAGAUGGGUUGGAGCAGCAGGGUGCUGCUGCAUGCUGGUCUAUAUCCCAUUCCUCUCUGUAUACUUCACUCCUCUUCCUCUCCUCAUCUUGCACUUCCUGCCCACUCUUAGGAGGGGGGAAAUCAGCAGUCUGGCUCCAGUCUGGACCCCCACGCAGGCUCCUCAGUCCUGGAUACUGCCCAAACCUAGUGGGAAACAAGCAACUGCAGUCAGUGUCCAAUAGUCUACAGGAGCUCAUGAAUCACACAAAACAAGUAAUGGAUAUUCUGUUAAAAAGUUGCAUGUGCUCAAUGCUGCAUUAUUUAUUUUUAAAUGAAGAAAAAAAAAAUUGAAAAGAAAGAAAGAAAGAAAAAUUAUUAUAAACUGAACACUUUCAGACUCAUUAAAGUGACAUUUCACCUGAAAUAUAACUGGAAACUUGUAAAGUAUAUGAAUUUGACCAAGUACAUGUAUAGUACAAAUGACAAUUUAGCACCUAAUCAUCAAGAUCAUCAUCAUCAUCAUCAUCAUCAGGAAUUAUGCCAGUAACAAGUAUGACAGUUGCAUGGCUAUAACUAAAUGCCCAAAUGGCCAUUUAUUUGUGUUCAUAUCUUUCCCAGACAUGACAUAAUUAAGCAUGAACUACAGAAAGCUUGAAGAUGUGAAGUUCUCAAAGAUUUCAGAUAAGCUUUGGAAAAAGCCCCUUUGUGUCUUCUUCUCAUCUUGUCCAAAGCAUUUUCAAGUA